GUGGUUUAUAGCAUUGACUGUCAGGAUUGUGAUUUUGUUUACGUUGGCCAAACAGAUAGAGCCCUGAAAACUCGGAUCAAAGAGCACCAAAACGCAGUGAAGAACGACGAUGAAUAUUCUAAAAUAGCGCAACACACGAAACACCCACCUUCACAGAAUGGAUUUUGAAAACACCAAAGUUGUUGAUCGUGAACCAGAUUAUAACAAAAGGUUAUUCCUUGAAGCGUGGUAUUCUUUAAGACAAGCCAAUGCGGGAAAUGAUCACAAUGACAUUCCUGAGAUUUACAAUUGCCUUGUAUAGUUCA